rnacentral:rRNA from 1 species
AGUGAACGCUGGCGGUAGGCCUAACACAUGCAAGUCGAACGGCAGCACAGUAAGAGCUUGCUCUUACGGGUGGCGAGUGGCGGACGGGUGAGGAAUACAUCGGAAUCUACUUUUUCGUGGGGGAUAACGUAGGGAAACUUACGCUAAUACCGCAUACGACCUACGGGUGAAAGCAGGGGAUCUUCGGACCUUGCGCGAUUGAAUGAGCCGAUGUCGGAUUAGCUAGUUGGCGGGGUAAAGGCCCACCAAGGCGACGAUCCGUAGCUGGUCUGAGAGGAUGAUCAGCAACACUGGAACUGAGACACGGUCCAGAACCCUACGGGAGGCAGCAGUGGGAAAUAUUGGACAAGGGGCGCAAGCCUGAUCCAGCCAUACCGCGUGGGUGAAGAAGGCCUUCGGGUUGUAAAGCCCUUUUGUUGGGAAAGAAAAGCAGCAGGUUAAGACCCCGCUGUUCUGACGGUACCCAAAGAAUAGGCACCGGCAAACUUCGU